rnacentral:lncRNA from 1 species
UUGUCAUUACUCAAUUUUAGUCAUUGAUCUGGUUGUCAGGAAGGGAGGGAGGAGUAAAUCCUAAGGGGAGCACAUGUUGUCUUAUAAGGCAGUGUUCUGUAUCAUCUUCGAGUGAGUGGGGAAAGCAGGCAGAGUGCCAUAAGAGAGGGGCUGCAUUGUAGAAUAUUUAACAUCAUCCACUAGAUGACAAAAGCACCACUCCCUCCUCCUACCCUACCCCCGGUCAUAACUAGCAAAAUUAUCUCCCAACUUUGUCAAAUAUCCUAGGGAUUGAGCAAGAGGUAAUAACACACCAUUGAGAACCAUUUCAGUAGCUCAUCCCAGUUCACCACUGGAGAGUUUCAGCUACCGCUCGGCUGUGGCACACCAGGUGCUAUCUAUACUCCGCUGAUUACCAGUGAAGGUGCAUUUUGUCAUUAGGCCAGUGGUUAUUAGGUUCCAAAUUUCCCAUUUUAGAUUCUUCUUUCAUAGUGCAUUCCUGGCACCAACUGCUGUAGAUCAGGUUCCCAGGAGAACAGACUCUGGGAUGGACAUUUGCAUACAGGAAGCUGUCUGGGGCAUGCUCAGGGAAACAGCAUCUGAGAGGGAGUGAAGAAAGCAGGAGUGAGCAGAGGGAGAAGUUGAACUAGCGUGCAGUUGAAACAAAGAUCUCAGUCCCUCCCACAGAGAACACAGCUGUUACGAUGACCCCUCAAAAAUGUUCCAGAUUAAGGUAACUUUGUAUUUCUAAAUCAACCACCAUUGGAUGCCAGCUUCUGUCUCAGCUUCUUUUGGCUGAGGGUAAGUCCUAGGAAGUCCUCAGCUGUAUGCACAUCAGCAGCCAGCACUCCCAGCACCUGGAGGAAUGAGUGCUUCAUUAAGGCUGUGCAUCAAGACAUCCACUACAAACACUAAAAGAGAAAAAUCUUACAAAUAAUUUCUUCUGAAAAUAGUUGGUAAAGAAUUUAAUUUUACUGUAAAGAGAACCUGGUAAUGCCAUGGCAUCUUGUGACGUGGAGCGGUUAGCAAAUAUUUAUUGAGUGCAAAACACUAUUCUGGAUG